rnacentral:misc_RNA from 1 species
CAAAGUAAACAAAUGCAGAGGAUGUAUCAAAAUAGUACACAGAUUGAAUGUUAACAAAUAUCCAGUUUUUUCAUUCAUCUAAAAUUCGUUCAUAUAAACUAAAAUUCAUAACCAAUGUCGUUAAACUUUAUAGCCCUCACAAUCGAUCAAAUGCUAAAUUUCAAGAGCCAGAAAGCUACCUGAAGUAAAUGGAAAUUUGAGGGAUAUCAAUAUCAUUGUCUUCAUCGUCCUCACAAGCAACAACCACAUCAAAGUGUCGCCGAUAUGAAGGCAAUUCUGCCUUGCCAACUUCCCUCGCCAGAUCAACCAACUUCUUGCCCAUGCGUUCUUUAUGCCUGGGGAACAUGCUGUUAUAAAGCAGGCAACUGCCAUAGGAAAUGCUGUAAGCAUUUAAGCCCUUGUUUUGUAGCCAUUCAAGAAGCUCCCUUAAUGUUGGAUUGUCUUUUAGGAUCCACCUAUCCCACACUGUCCAUCUCAUAUCUUGAUGCUUGAUCACCUUAGGUGGAACUGGCUCAGCCAUGGAGAACAGUGGGAGUGCCAGGUUAGCAAAGCUGUUUCUAUAGUCCUCCAAUUUGUGUCCUCCAUCAAGAACCUUGUACAGCUCCAAGCAAACAAGGCCAGUUGCCAUAGCAGUGGAGGUUGCAAUUGCCGGGAUGAUCCUUCCAGCAAUGAAUUUAGCCUUCAGCUUGUCAACUUCAGGUAUGCCGUAAUUCCUUGCCCUCAUGUUCGCAAGUCCAGCUAUCAAGUCCAUAUGAUAGUUUGUGUCAUCAUCCUUCUCAAACUGAAUU